AACGAGUUCUCGUUUAAUAUAUGACUUUUAAUGAAAUAUCUAUGUUCAUAUUCGCUACUUAACCUUCCUUGGCAAGUAAUCCAUCCUAUUGUUAACAUUAAUAUAAUCCAUCAAGAUACUUUUUUAUUAAUUUAAGUUUUUCAGAAUUAGAUGUUGGUGCACCUCCUCCAAAUCUAGAGCUGUGGAAAGAAUUGGUAAAAUCUUAUCGCGAUGUUCGUGAUUCUCUAAAAAUUGCAGUAAAACAUUUCUAGCAUAUUCUUUGUUAAUCAAUUCUUUAGAAAUAUUGCUUAUAACAGGUGGCUCGAAUGAACCUGCUGAAUCACUUGAAGCUUUGGGCAAUAUUUCACUGCUCAUAACACUGGACAGCUCGCUCUCGUGAGAUUUGACACUUUCCUUUUGAACCUUUUGCUUUUCAAUGAGUUCUUUUAUUUCAUCCCUUGACUCCACUAACUCGUUUCCAACAUUCCUGAGCAUAUCUUGAAGAUUUUCGUUUUCUUCCUUUAGUUUGCAGACCGUUUCAUCAGAUUUCUCUAAUCUUUUUUUUAUAUCAAGGUGCUCUUGCUUCGUAUUUAGAGCAUCCCUGUUGUAGAUUUCUGCCUUCUGUUCGGCUUCGUCGCGUUGAAUUUGGAUCCUACGAACCAAGUCACUCAAGGUUUUGUUUGCAUUCUCCAACUCCUUUACCUUUUCAUCUAGAGGUUUUUCUUUAUCUUUUGAAUCGAUCGAGCCGGAGCGUUGUUCCUCUAAAUCAUUAUUACCCACAAAUUGUUCUGAAGGACCAUUAUUCUUCUUCUUUUUUCUGUUUUUACGCUUCUUUUUUGAAGCAGGCGGUUUGGUUAUUGCGGCUUCAUCUAGAAAUACUGUUUCUGAUUUCUCUUUUAGAAAAUUUUCGUUUUCUAAACUGUUUUUUGCUGAAACAGUGGUUUCCAUAACUGGCUCCUUGUUUGGAAUGGUUAUGCCUGCAUCGAUAAACGUCUUGCACACCACAAGGUAGAAUUUAGUAAAUUAGAUUAUAAAUUUAUAGCAUUUAAAACCAAUUUUAACUGAGUAUGAUUUCUGAAUUUUUUUAAUAUGAGCUUUGCGAAUUUGGAAAGCUAAAUUUGCUUUACUUUAUGAUACUUUUUCUACGAUUUUCACAAACUUACGUUGUUCAAUAAAAAAUGAAUAUUCACACAUCAAGGAUUCUUUU